AUGUUUCACUUGAACCCCACCACAGAAAUUGCCCCAAAGGAAGCCUUGUUUGUUUCUUCUUUCACUUUUAGUGCUAUGGAGUCCCAUUUGCACCUGGAAUGCUGGGAACAGGGGAUGGAGCAGCAAGAAGCAAUUGAAAGGAUUAGGAUGGAACCUUCCUCAAGCUUCACAGGCUUGUCUGCUGGCCACAGACACCAUUAUGGAAUACCCUUCCUGAGGCCAAGAUGUGUCCUCUGGAAAGAUACCCAUGACACAGACCACAGUGGACACCAACUCAGAUACUGAGGGAAGGUUCCACGACAGCUGAACAUGGACAGCAGACAUGCUGAACACUGAGCCCCUUAGUACAGAGCUGCUAAGCUUUCCUCUCAAGCUGACGGGGGCUGGUACUGCCUUGAAGCCCUGGGAGAUGCCAUGCCAAUUCCCAGCAAGGUCUUUAUUGUUGAAAGUCUUGCACGAUGACAUCUUUAUUCAUGUGAAAAUACAGGAUGAAUUUCAACUAUAUGAUAUUGUUUAUGUUCAUUAGAAAUGUUAUUUGUCUUUACCAAGUCUGGUUUCAAUGAACCGGCUAUGUAAUGGAUAUUAAAUAAACAUGGAAUUUUACAUGUUCA
ensembl:lncRNA